rnacentral:rRNA from 1 species
AGAGUUUGAUCCUGGCUCAGAACGUACGCUGGCGGCACGCCUAAUACAUGCAAGUCGAACGAAGUAGCAAUACUUAGUGGCAGACGGGUGAGUAACAUGUAGGUAUCUACCCUUUGGCCUGGAAUAACACGAGGAAACUUGUGCUAAUACCGGAUAAGUCUUUACGGAGAAAGCUUUAUGCACCAUUGGAUGAGCCUGCACUUGAUUAGUUUGUUGGUGGGGUAAUGGCCUACCAAGACAAUGAUCAAUAGCUGAUUUGAGAGGAUGAUCAGCCACAUUGGGACUGAGACACGGCCCAAACUCCUACGGGAGGCAGCAGUAGGGAAUCUUGCACAAUGGAGGAAACUCUGAUGCAGCGAUGCCGCGUGAGUGAAGAAGGCCUUUGGGUUGUAAAGCUCUUUCGUCGGGGAAGAAAAUGACUGUACCCGAAUAAGAAGGUCCGGCUAACUUCGUGCCAGCAGCCGCGGUAAUACGAAGGGACCUAGCGUAGUUCGGAAUUACUGGGCUUAAAGAGUUCGUAGGUGGUUAAAAAAGUUGGUGGUGAAAUCCCAGAGCUUAAUUCUGGAACUGCCAUCAAAACUUUUUAGCUAGAGUAUGAUAGAGGAAAGCAGAAUUUCUAGUGUAGAGGUGAAAUUCGUAGAUAUUAGAAAGAAUACCGAUUGCGAAGGCAGCUUUCUGGAUCAUUACUGACACUGAGGAACGAAAGCAUGGGUAGCGAAGAGGAUUAGAUACCCUCG